CCUACGGGAGGCAGCAGUAGGGAAUUUUCGUCAAUGGGCGCAAGCCUGAACGAGCAAUGCCGCGUGAACGAGGAAGGUCUUCGGAUCGUAAAGUUCUGUUGAAGGGGAAAAAGAGCGGAGAGAGGAAAUGCUUUCUGAUUGAUAUUACCCUUCGAGGAAGUCACGGCUUACUUCGUGCCAGCCGCCGCGGUAAUACGGAGGUGGCGGGCGGUAUCCGGAAUGAAUGGGCGGAAAGGGUGCGUCGGCGGCCUGCUAAGUCUGGAGGUUAAGGGACCGGCGCAAACGGUAGAGGCUCUGGAAACUGGCGGGAUAGAGAGGAGGGGAGGGCGGUGGAAAUCCAAGGGUAGCGGUAAAAUGCGUAGAUAUAUGGAAGAACAACAGUGGCGAAGGCGGCCGCCUGGCCUGUUAACUGACGCUGAGGCACGAAAGCGUGGGGAGCAAAUAGGAUUAGAUACCCUGGUAGUC
rnacentral:rRNA from 1 species